CCUACGGGAGGCAGCAGUAGGGAAUCUUUCACAAUGGGCGAAAGCCUGAUGGAGCAACGCCGCGUGCAGGAUGAAGGCCUUCGGGUUGUAAACUGCUUUUAUAAGCGAGAAAUAUGAUGGUAACUUAUGAAUAAGGAUCGGCUAACUACGUGCCAGCAGCCGCGGUCAUACGUAGGAUCCGAGCAUUAUCCGGAGUGACUGGGUGUAAAGAGUUGCGUAGGUGGCAUAAUAAGUAGCUAGUGAAAUCUGGUGGCUCAACCAUUCAGACUAUUAGCUAAACUGUUACGCUCGAGACCGUUAGGGGUAACUGGAAUUUCUAGGGUAGGAGUGAAAUCCGUAGAGAUUAGAAGGAACACCAAUAGCGUAGGCAGGUUGCUGGGACGGUUCUGACACUAAGGCACGAAAGCGUAGGGAGCAAACGGGAUUAGAUACCCGUGUAGUC
rnacentral:rRNA from 1 species